rnacentral:snRNA from 1 species
CUCGGGGGUCCCAGUUCCG